GUCGAACGGUGAAGCCAAGCUUGCUUGGUGGAUCAGUGGCGAACGGGUGAGUAACACGUGAGCAACCUGCCCUGGACUCUGGGAUAAGCGCUGGAAACGGCGUCUAAUACUGGAUAUGAGCCCCUUCCGCAUGGUGGGGGUUGGAAAGAUUUUUUGGUCUGGGAUGGGCUCGCGGCCUAUCAGCUUGUUGGUGAGGUAAUGGCUCACCAAGGCGUCGACGGGUAGCCGGCCUGAGAGGGUGACCGGCCACACUGGGACUGAGACACGGCCCAGACUCCUACGGGAGGCAGCAGUGGGGAAUAUUGCACAAUGGGCGGAAGCCUGAUGCAGCAACGCCGCGUGAGGGAUGACGGCCUUCGGGUUGUAAACCUCUUUUAGCAGGGAAGAAGCGAGAGUGACGGUACCUGCAGAAAAAGCGCCGGCUAACUACGUGCCAGCAGCCGCGGUAAUACGUAGGGCGCAAGCGUUAUCCGGAAUUAUUGGGCGUAAAGAGCUCGUAGGCGGUUUGUCGCGUCUGCUGUGAAAUCCCGAGGCUCAACCUCGGGCCUGCAGUGGGUACGGGCAGACUAGAGUGCGGUAGGGGAGAUUGGAAUUCCUGGUGUAGCGGUGGAAUGCGCAGAUAUCAGGAGGAACACCGAUGGCGAAGGCAGAUCUCUGGGCCGUAACUGACGCUGAGGAGCGAAAGGGUGGGGAGCAAACAGGCUUAGAUACCCUGGUAGUCCACCCCGUAAACGUUGGGAACUAGUUGUGGGGACCAUUCCACGGUUUCCGUGACGCAGCUAACGCAUUAAGUUCCCCGCCUGGGGGAGUACGGCCGCAAGGCUAAAACUCAAAGGAAUUGACGGGGACCCGCACAAGCGGCGGAGCAUGCGGAUUAAUUCGAUGCCAACGCGAAGAACCUUACCAAGGCUUGACAUACACCAGAACACCGUAGAAAUACGGGACUCUUUGGACACUGGUGAACAGGUGGUGCAUGGUUGUCGUCAGCUCGUGUCGUGAGAUGUUGGGUUAAGUCCCGCAACGAGCGCAACCCUCGUUCUAUGUUGCCAGCACGUAAUGGUGGGAACUCAUGGGAUACUGCCGGGGUCAACUCGGAGGAAGGUGGGGAUGACGUCAAAUCAUCAUGCCCCUUAUGUCUUGGGCUUCACGCAUGCUACAAUGGCCGGUACAAAGGGCUGCAAUACCGUGAGGUGGAGCGAAUCCCAAAAAGCCGGUCCCAGUUCGGAUUGAGGUCUGCAACUCGACCUCAUGAAGUCGGAGUCGCUAGUAAUCGCAGAUCAGCAACGCUGCGGUGAAUACGUUCCCGGGUCUUGUACACACCGCCCGUCAAGUCAUGAAAGUCGGUAACACCUGAAGCCGGUGGCCUAACCC
rnacentral:rRNA from 1 species